AGUUGCGCAAAAGAGCAUCUGAGUUUUGCUUCUAUCGGUUAGGUAGUUUCUCGAUCAAUUUCCAUUUUCAUACCUUUGUGUUCACCAAUUAGUUUUGGAUUAUUGUUCAUCCAUUUGUUGCUUUUUGAUCGGUCAACGAUGCUUUCUUAAUGAUUGAGUACGAUUACUAGGAGACUGUUUAAUACUUCCUGCAACUAAGCACCUAAAAUUGUUUUCGGUUAUUGGUCAAAGUGGAUUUGAAAAUAGCAUCGGAUAUGUUUGCUAGAAGUUGAUUUUGGACUAUUUUUUAUAAGAUAGCAAGAAGGUUAUAACAGUAGCAAAUUCUGAAGGCUUUCCAGUAUCAGGAAGUGAAGAGACUGGAUUGAAACCUGUUGUCCGAAUGUCUAGUAAUUAUAGUGCAGGUGUUCCUAUCAAGAAAAGGAGGUUCCCGUUAAUCCGGCCUCCUUCACCUCCUGCCAAAGAACAAUCUGUAAUAAAUGAUUUGCUACAAAAAGAAAUUUCUAGCCCAUCUCAAGGGUCAGCUCUAUCAAAUGCCAAGGUUGGGCCAAGUUCAUCUGGCUUAUCUGAUGCAAACAAGGAAUCACUUCUUGCGGAAAGAAAGGGAAAUCCUGAUGCAACAAAUGUUAAAAUGGUUAACAGCAGUGCUAAAACCUAUAGCAUCAAGGUUGAACAACCAAGUCUUACAAUUCACUCUAUUUCCAGGGCUGAUGUGGACAGCAAA